rnacentral:rRNA from 1 species
UACGAAGGGAGCUAGCGUUGUUCGGAAUCACUGGGCUUAAAGGGCGCGUAGGCGGCUCGCCAAGUCGGGGGCGAAAUCUUUCGGCUCAACCGGAAAAGUGCCUUCGAUACUGGCGGGCUGGAGGGAGGUAGGGCAUGUGGAACUUCCGGUGGAGCGGUGAAAUGCGUUGAUAUCGGAAGGAACGCCGGUGGCGAAAGCGACGUGCUGGACCUCUUCUGACGCUGAGGCGCGAAAGCUAGGGGAGCGAACGGG